CGGAGGGUGCAAGCGUUAUCCGGAUUCACUGGGUUUAAAGGGUGCGUAGGUGGGCUGGUAAGUCAGUGGUGAAAAUCUCCGGGCUUAACCCGGAAACUGCCAUUGAUACUAUUGGUCUUGAAUUAUCUGGAGGUCAGCGGAAUAUGUCAUGUAGCGGUGAAAUGCUUAGAUAUGACAUAGAACACCAAUUGCGAAGGCAGCUGGCUACAGGUUGAUUGACACUGAGGCACGAAAGCGUGGGAUCAAACAGGAUU
rnacentral:rRNA from 1 species